AUGAACAACGGUUCAACCUCUCCACUCUGUCUUACAUUCCUCAUGAUUUACGGACUACUUCCAAUUCGUCUCACCCGCGGCCGCUUCUCACGUUCGACCGAAGUAGCUCUGGCGGCUGCUCGAAGGCUGCAACUUGAAUAUGUUCAUGGAUGCAUUGAUGUUUCAUGGGACAUGAUUGAAAUAUUUGGAUAUCUUAGAGGGAUAAUGAAGACGUAG